AACGAACGCUGGCGGCAGGCUUAACACAUGCAAGUCGAACGGGAUCUUCGGAUCUAGUGGCAGACGGGUGAGGAACACGUGGGAACAUCCCUUUCAGUUGGGAAUAACGUUGGGAAACUAACGCUAAUACCGGAUACGUCCUUCGGGAGAAAGAUUUAUCGCUGAAAGAUUGGCCCGCGUCUGAUUAGCUAGUUGUGGAGGUAACGGCUCACCAAGGCUACGAUCAGUAGCUGAUCUGAGAGGAUGACCAGCCAUAUUGGGACUGAGACACGGCCCAAACUCCUACGAGAGGCAGCAGUGGGGAAUAUUGGACAAUGGGCGCAAGCCUGAUCCAGCCAUGCCGCGUGAGUGAUGACGGCCUUCGGGUUGUAAAGCUCUUUUGUCCGGGAAGAUAAUGACUGUACCGGAAGAAUAAGCCCCGGCAAACUUCGUGCCAGCCGCCGCCGUAA
rnacentral:rRNA from 1 species